UGUAAAGUGGCUACAAUAAUAUCUGUUUCACAGAGCUGUUGUGAGGAGGAAGUGAGAUAACGUGUGCAGAAUGCCUGGCUUGGUGAUUGGCACAUACACAAGAAAUACUCAGCCAAUGGUAACUGUUAUUGUUACUAUUGCUGCUGCUGUUAUGGAGGGAAGGACAGAGGUUUGAUACGCAUAUUUGUGGAAGUGCAAUCUAUGUGGAGCUCCGGGACUGCAGGAACACGGAGGCGGGAGAACGAUGGAAGCUCCUGGGGCAAUGCUGGAGGGUCGGUCCGGUCCAGAGAGAAACCAGAUGGUGAAAAUGAUCUGGGAGUGGACUGUGGCAGCUGCUGAGGAGAACCUGAAGUAGAAGACAAUACUGGAUGGAAGGCUUCAUCUCUACUUCAGGUUGGAUCAGGGCGUCCUCUUGCCCUGCCCUCUUCUGAGCGGGGCCAGUGGCUGAGCGGAACACAACCUGAGAUCUCUCUCGAUGCACAGACCCAUAACUCACCUUCAUAAGCACGGUGACCUGGCCAAGGGUCCCAGACCUGGCUGACUGUUCUUUGGAGCCUGUUGAAACAGCGAUUCCUGGUCUUCUCUCACACAGAGAUUCAGGAGGUCAGAGCUGGGCUGAUUCUGGAACGGCACAUGCCCAGACUGGCAUCCGGGAAUGGGUUGACAGUAGCUUGGUAAGUCACAUGGGCCACAGCCCACGAUGUGAGGGCAAAGGGAUCAUUCCUGGCUGCUGUAUAGCCUUUGUUCCCGAACAUGAGCUCAGGAAUGGUUUGGAACUAGACAAAACCAAAACAAAACAAGGUGAGGAGAAGCCUAAAACAAAACAUAGGCGUUUCCCAAGGAAUGUAACCCUCUGCAAAGACUUCAAGUUGGAAGUUGUGUGGAUGAGCUUUGUAUGCAUCAUGAAAAAUGGCCACCUUGACACCUUUGCGCAUGGCCCUCUUGUUCUGCCUCCCAGGACUGGCUAAGCACACAGAGCAGCAAGCAAUCGCUUGUCUUAUGUGACCCACGUCUAAGCAACCACAGGAAGCAGCCUGAGUAGGAACGAGGAGCUCCUAGAACAAGCAUGGAGGGGACCAAGUCGGGGCUGUUCCAUACCUUCUGCACAUUGUGCAAGUGUUGGUUUUCGGGGGACGGGGCAUGCCGGGGAGGGGGUGUGUGAAGGAAGCAUAGUCUAUGAAACAUAAAGAAAUUGUCUGGAAAACAUGGAGUGAUGAGUGGAGAUCCUUUUGAACCAUCUUGUCACUUAUGGGUCAUAUACAAAGUGUCCUGUCCCAGAAGCAGAAGGUCCCAGAACAUUCACUCAGUGACACAGAAGGAGAGGAUGAGUAUCUCAAGGAGAAAGAAGUUUGGGGCUGGAAUGCUGGUCUUUGGUGCUCUGCUCAUUACUACUUUCCCCAGGCCACUUGGGUUACCCCAUUGCCCUAGCCUGCUUCCUUCUGCAGGGACAUCUGUCCAUUUCUUGGCUUGUGACCUGUAUACGCUACGACACUCGCACACUGUUCAAAUAUUAGAUAGUGUAGAGGAUUUGUAAAGUCAUCAGCCCUUGUCCAACUUUUU